rnacentral:rRNA from 1 species
GGUUAAGCGACUAAGCGUACACGGUGGAUGCCCUGGCAGUCAGAGGCGAUGAAGGACGUGCUAAUCUGCGAUAAGCGCCGGUAAGGUGAUAUGAACCGUUAUAACCGGCGAUUUCCGAAUGGGGAAACCCAGUGUGAUUCGUCACACUAUCAUUAACUGAAUCCAUAGGUUAAUGAGGCGAACCGGGGGAACUGAAACAUCUAAGUACCCCGAGGAAAAGAAAUCAACCGAGAUUCCCCCAGUAGCGGCGAGCGAACGGGGAGGAGCCCAGAGCCUGAAUCAGCAUGUGUGUUAGUGGAAGCGUCUGGAAAGGCGCGCGAUACAGGGUGACAGCCCCGUACACAAAAGCGCAUGUGCUGUGAGCUCGAUGAGUAGGGCGGGACACGUGGUAUCCUGUCUGAAUAUGGGGGGACCAUCCUCCAAGGCUAAAUACUCCUGACUGACCGAUAGUGAACCAGUACCGUGAGGGAAAGGCGAAAAGAACCCCGGCGAGGGGAGUGAAAAAGAACCUGAAACCGUGUACGUACAAGCAGUGGGAGCACCCUUUGGGGUGUGACUGCGUACCUUUUGUAUAAUGGGUCAGCGACUUAUAUUCUGUAGCAAGGUUAACCGUAUAGGGGAGCCGCAGGGAAACCGAGUCUUAACCGGGCGUUAAGUUGCAGGGUAUAGACCCGAAACCCGGUGAUCUAGCCAUGGGCAGGUUGAAGGUUGGGUAACACUAACUGGAGGACCGAACCGACUAAUGUUGAAAAAUUAGCGGAUGACCUGUGGCUGGGGGUGAAAGGCCAAUCAAACCGGGAGAUAGCUGGUUCUCCCCGAAAGCUAUUUAGGUAGCGCCUCGUGAAUUCAUCUCCGGGGGUAGAGCACUGUUUCGGCUAGGGGGCCAUCCCGGCUUACCAACCCGAUGCAAACUGCGAAUACCGGAGAAUGUUAUCACGGGAGACACACGGCGGGUGCUAACGUCCGUCGUGAAGAGGGAAACAACCCAGACCGCCAGCUAAGGUCCCAAAGUCAUGGUUAAGUGGGAAACGAUGUGGGAAGGCCCAGACAGCCAGGAUGUUGGCUUAGAAGCAGCCAUCAUUUAAAGAAAGCGUAAUAGCUCACUGGUCGAGUCGGCCUGCGCGGAAGAUGUAACGGGGCUAAACCAUGCACCGAAGCUGCGGCAGCGACACUGUGUGUUGUUGGGUAGGGGAGCGUUCUGUAAGCCUGUGAAGGUGGCCUGUGAGGGUUGCUGGAGGUAUCAGAAGUGCGAAUGCUGACAUAAGUAACGAUAAAGCGGGUGAAAAGCCCGCUCGCCGGAAGACCAAGGGUUCCUGUCCAACGUUAAUCGGGGCAGGGUGAGUCGACCCCUAAGGCGAGGCCGAAAGGCGUAGUCGAUGGGAAACGGGUUAAUAUUCCCGUACUUGGUGUUACUGCGAAGGGGGGACGGAGAAGGCUAUGUUGGCCGGGCGACGGUUGUCCCGGUUUAAGCGUGUAGGUGUGUGUUCCAGGUAAAUCCGGUUCACUUUAACACUGAGGCGUGAUGACGAGGCACUACGGUGCUGAAGCAACAAAUGCCCUGCUUCCAGGAAAAGCCUCUAAGCAUCAGGUAACAUCAAAUCGUACCCCAAACCGACACAGGUGGUCAGGUAGAGAAUACCAAGGCGCUUGAGAGAACUCGGGUGAAGGAACUAGGCAAAAUGGUGCCGUAACUUCGGGAGAAGGCACGCUGACACGUAGGUGAAGUGAUUUACUCAUGGAGCUGAAGUCAGUCGAAGAUACCAGCUGGCUGCAACUGUUUAUUAAAAACACAGCACUGUGCAAACACGAAAGUGGACGUAUACGGUGUGACGCCUGCCCGGUGCCGGAAGGUUAAUUGAUGGGGUCAGCGCAAGCGAAGCUCCUGAUCGAAGCCCCGGUAAACGGCGGCCGUAACUAUAACGGUCCUAAGGUAGCGAAAUUCCUUGUCGGGUAAGUUCCGACCUGCACGAAUGGCGUAAUGAUGGCCAGGCUGUCUCCACCCGAGACUCAGUGAAAUUGAACUCGCUGUGAAGAUGCAGUGUACCCGCGGCAAGACGGAAAGACCCCGUGAACCUUUACUAUAGCUUGACACUGAACAUUGAGCCUUGAUGUGUAGGAUAGGUGGGAGGCUUUGAAGUGUGGACGCCAGUCUGCAUGGAGCCGACCUUGAAAUACCACCCUUUAAUGUUUGAUGUUCUAACGUGGACCCGUAAUCCGGGUUGCGGACAGUGUCUGGUGGGUAGUUUGACUGGGGCGGUCUCCUCCUAAAGAGUAACGGAGGAGCACGAAGGUUGGCUAAUCCUGGUCGGACAUCAGGAGGUUAGUGCAAUGGCAUAAGCCAGCUUGACUGCGAGCGUGACGGCGCGAGCAGGUGCGAAAGCAGGUCAUAGUGAUCCGGUGGUUCUGAAUGGAAGGGCCAUCGCUCAACGGAUAAAAGGUACUCCGGGGAUAACAGGCUGAUACCGCCCAAGAGUUCAUAUCGACGGCGGUGUUUGGCACCUCGAUGUCGGCUCAUCACAUCCUGGGGCUGAAGUAGGUCCCAAGGGUAUGGCUGUUCGCCAUUUAAAGUGGUACGCGAGCUGGGUUUAGAACGUCGUGAGACAGUUCGGUCCCUAUCUGCCGUGGGCGCUGGAGAACUGAGGGGGGCUGCUCCUAGUACGAGAGGACCGGAGUGGACGCAUCACUGGUGUUCGGGUUGUCAUGCCAAUGGCACUGCCCGGUAGCUAAAUGCGGAAGAGAUAAGUGCUGAAAGCAUCUAAGCACGAAACUUGCCCCGAGAUGAGUUCUCCCUGAGACUUAGAGUCUCCUGAAGGAACGUUGAAGACGACGACGUUGAUAGGCCGGGUGUGUAAGCGCAGCGAUGCGUUGAGCUAACCGGUACUAAUGAACCGUGAGGCUUAACCUU